rnacentral:rRNA from 1 species
GAUGAACGCUGGCGGCGUGCCUAAUACAUGCAAGUUGAGCGCUGAAGACUGGUACUUGUACCGGUUGGAUGAGCAGCGAACGGGUGAGUAACGCGUGGGUAACCUGCCUUAUAGAGGGGGAUAACUAGAGGAAACUUUAGCUAAUACCGCAUAAAAUCUAAUAACACAUGUUACAAGAUUGAAAGUGCCAAUUGGUACACUAUAGGAUGGACCCGCGUUGUAUUAGCUAGUUGGUGAGGUAAAGGCUCACCAAGGCGAUGAUACAUAGCCGACCUGAGAGGGGGAUCGGCCACACUGGGACUGAGACACGGCCCAGACUCCUACGGGAGGCAGCAGUAGGGAAUCUUCGGCAAUGGACGAAAGUCUGACCGAGCAACGCCGCGUGAGUGAAGAAGGUUUUCGGAUCGUAAAACUCUGUUGUAAGAGAAGAACACCAGUAAGAGUGGAAAGCUUACUGGCUGACGGUAUCUUACCAGAAAGCCACGGCUAACUACGUGCCAGCCGCCGCGGUAA